GGAGAGCCAAAGAGCAAAGUAAAAACAGAAGUGAAGAUCUGCAUCAAACCCAAAAUAAAGACUCUGAGGGUCAACAAGAAGUAUAUAUCUAAGACAAAUGUAGUGGGUCCAGUGAAGUUUGAGGCCAAUGCAAGUGCAAGGAAGCUGCAAGGAAAUGAUAUACGGCAGGGGACAGCAGGUCAGAGCAGCGAGGCACAAACGUCCACAUCCCAGACAGAAAAGGGCUCUGAGGGGAAAUCCAAGAAACGGAACAUUUUUGCCAGAUUCUUUUCAUCCAUCUCCAAGUCUGUGCGGAAAUGCUGUGUGUGCAGCAGAACCUAAUUUUUCAUUUUCUAUU